rnacentral:snRNA from 1 species
AUCACUUCUAGGUCUUUUGGCUAAGAUCAAGUGUAGUAUCUGUUCUUAUCAGUUUAAUAUCUGAUAUGUCCCCUCUCUGAGGACUAUAUAUUAAAUGGAUUUUUGGAGCUGGGAGAUGGAAUACGAGCUUGCGCCAUCCACUCCACACACCAACUAGUAUUGCAGUACCUCCAGGAAUGGUGCACCACCC